UGUGACUUUGAAAAAGUUAGCUCUUAUUAGCAGGUAAAAUAUGUUUUCCUCUUUAGGAUAACAUUAUCUGGAAAUGCUAAUAAGUAUCCUGCUAUGUUUUAGAUCCAGUAUCACAAAUGUACAUGCCAUUCUUAAAAUACUGAUUACCUGGAUGCAUGACAACUAGAAGUCAAAAGGAUGUAAAGAUUCCAGCAGUUGUGAAAACUCAGAAAAAGUAAACAUCAUAGAAACAAACAUCACCUUUAACCAGGACCAGGGGGUACUCAUUAUUUGUGUCUAUAUAUUGAUAGCAUACUUUCUUUAAAAAAAAAAAAAGUUUAAACCAAAAGUAAAACAAAAUUAAACUGUGCCUUUGACCUCACAAAUAUUUCAUUAUUGUAUGCCUUUAUCUCAGUCAUAAUGACAUAACAGUCGUGACACAGACAUGUGAUUCUCAUCUAAUAUCCAUGCACUUCUUCACAAUUCUAGUCUUGCUACAGAUAGGUAUGCUAUAUAUAUGUGUAUGAGAGAGAGAGAGGCAUGCUAUAUUACUAGCUUUGGCCAAAAACUGUGAGAAGUAAGACUGUCACUGCCAAGCUGAGGUGGUAAAAAAUCCCAGAGGAUUCUGCACACAUUUUCAUUACCUGCCUCUGUGAAUAGAAAACCGGUGUAGAGAUGACAGGGUCAAGAUGGAACUUUG
rnacentral:lncRNA from 1 species